rnacentral:SRP_RNA from 1 species
GUGUGGGUCCUGUGCAAUGAAACGCCGUGAACCAUGUCAGGCGAGGAAUCGAGCAGCAUUAAGCGGUUUGUUUUGUGUGACACAGUUCCGCCUACACGCC